CAGCCGCCACGGUAAUACGAAGGGGGCUAGCGUUGUUCGGAAUUACUGGGCGUAAAGCGCACGUAGGCGGAUUGUUAAGUUAGGGGUGAAAUCCCAGGGCUCAACCCUGGAACUGCCUUUGAUACUGGCAAUCUCGAGUCCGAGGGAGGUGAGUGGAAUUCCGAGUGUAGAGGUGAAAUUCGUAGAUAUUCGGAGGAACACCAGUGGCGAAGGCGGCUCACUGGCUCGGUACUGACGCUGAGGUGCGAAAGCGUGGGGAGCAAACAGGAUUAGAUACCCCCGUAGUCCCUGUCUCUUAUAC
rnacentral:rRNA from 1 species